GAUGAACGCUCGCUACAGGCUUAACACAUGCAAGUCGAGGGGAAACGACAUCGAAAGCUUGCUUUUGAUGGGCGUCGACCGGCGCACGGGUGAGUAACGCGUAUCCAACCUGCCCACCACUUGGGGAUAACCUUGCGAAAGUAAGACUAAUACCCGAUGAUAUCUCUAUAAGACAUCUGAAAGGGAUUAAAGAUUUAUCGGUGAUGGAUGGGGAUGCGUCUGAUUAGCUUGUUGGCGGGGUAACGGCCCACCAAGGCGACGAUCAGUAGGGGUUCUGAGAGGAAGGUCCCCCACAUUGGAACUGAGACACGGUCCAAACUCCUACGGGAGGCAGCAGUGAGGAAUAGUGGUCAAUGGGCGAGAGCCUGAACCAGCCAAGUAGCGUGCAGGAUGACGGCCCUAUGGGUUGUAAACUGCUUUUAUAAGGGAAUAAAGUGAGUCUCGGGAGACUUUUUGCAUGUACCUUAUGAAUAAGGACCGGCUAAUUCCGUG
rnacentral:rRNA from 1 species